rnacentral:lncRNA from 1 species
UAGUUUAAGCCUGUAAGCUACCUCACCCACCUUCUGCUCAACUAGAAAUGGUCCAUAGUAUCUUGCUGCCAGCUUAGGAUGCAGCCUCGAUGGCAUAGACGUUUUCCUGUGUGGUCGUAUUUUGAGAUAUACCCAGUCACCUAUCUCAAUAUCUAUUACCCUUCGUUUUUUAUUAGCUUGCUUUGUCAUCAACUCUUAUGCCUGUGUCAAGUGGAAUUUCAAUUGCUUUAAAGCCUCAUCACGCGUCUACAACUCUU